rnacentral:rRNA from 1 species
UACGAAGGGGGCUAGCGUUGUUCGGAUUUACUGGGCGUAAAGCGCACGUAGGCGGAUCGAUCAGUCAGGGUGAAUCCCAGAGCUCAACUCUGGAACUGCCUUUGAUACUGUCGAUCUGGAGUAUGGAAGAGGUGAGUGGAAUUCCGAGUGUAGAGGUGAAAUUCGUAGAUAUUCGGAGGAACACCAGUGGCGAAGGCGGCUCACUGGUCCAUUACUGACGCUGAGGAGCGAAAGCGUGGGGAGCGAACAGG